rnacentral:rRNA from 1 species
AUUGAACGCUGGCGGCAGGCCUAACACAUGCAAGUCGAACGGACCCUUCGGGGUUAGUGGCGGACGGGUGAGUAACACGUGGGAACGUGCCUUUAGGUUCGGAAUAGCUCCUGGAAACGGGUGGUAAUGCCGAAUGUGCCCUUAGGGGGAAAGAUUUAUCGCCUUUAGAGCGGCCCGCGUCUGAUUAGCUAGUUGGUGGGGUAAUGGCUCACAAAGGCUACGAUCAUUAGCCGGUCUGAGAGGAUGACCAGCCAUUGGGACUGAGACACGGCCCAAACUCCUACGGGAGGCAGCAGUGGGGAAUCUUGCGCAAUGGGCGAAAGCCUGACGCAGCCAUGCCGCGUGGAUGAUGAAGGUCUUAGGAUUGUAAAAUCCUUUCACCGGUGAAGAUAAUGACUGUAGCCGGAGAAGAAGCCCCGGCUAACUUCGUGCCAGCCGCCGCGGUAAUAC